rnacentral:rRNA from 1 species
CGUAGGGCGCAAGCGUUGUCCGGAAUUAUUGGGCGUAAAGAGCUCGUAGGCGGUUUGUCGCGUCUGUCGUGAAAGCCCAUGGCUUAACCGUGGGUCUGCGGUGGAUACGGGCAGACUUGAGGCAGGUAGGGGAGAACGGAAUUCCCGGUGUAGCGGUGAAAUGCGCAGAUAUCGGGAGGAACACCGGUGGCGAAGGCGGUUCUCUGGGCCUGUACUGACGCUGAGGAGCGAAAGCGUGGGGAGCGAACAGGAUU